rnacentral:lncRNA from 1 species
AGGUCAUCAGUUAGAUGAAUAUGUAUUUGAAAGCUGUUCAUUCAUUGUAGAGAUGUGGGUAGACAGCAGUAAAUAUGCCCCAUGGCACUGAUUAACUCAAAGUGGCUCCAGGCCAAAGAUUUUAUGCUUCAGUGAAGACAUUUUUGCCACAGCAGGACUUUGUUGACCAUACAUUAUGAGGGAAAUAUUUAAUACUAUUUGGAGACUGAUAUAUUUUCCUCUUAUCUAGAGUAAAAUAAAUUAUAAGAAGUGAUGAAAACAACCAGUUAAUUAGACUUAAAUGGCUAUUGAGUUAAUCUUCAAAUUAUUUUCCUAGGGGCCCUUUUAAGAGAAGGUUGGAAAGAAUGAACCAUGUUUACCAGAGAUGUUUCCCAAGACAGACAACAGACUGACCAUGUUGAUUCAGAACUAAGUACUAAUAAAAAGGAGUUUAAUAAGAAGUCUAAUAGAAAUCAAAUUGUAUUUAUCAACUUUAAUUCUAUUUUAAUGCACGAGUCCUAACAGCCAAACGACUAAUAUGCUGACAUUUCUUAAUUCAUUUUUU